rnacentral:rRNA from 1 species
UAGGGAAUCUUGCGCAAUGGGCGAAAGCCUGACGCAGCCACGCCGCGUGAAUGAUGAAGGUCUUAGGAUUGUAAAAUUCUUUCACCGGGGACGAUAAUGACGGUACCCGGAGAAGAAGCCCCGGCUAACUUCGUGCCAGCAGCCGCGGUAAUACGAAGGGGGCUAGCGUUGCUCGGAAUUACUGGGCGUAAAGGGAGCGUAGGCGGAUAGUUUAGUCAGAGGUGAAAGCCCAGGGCUCAACCUUGGAACUGCCUUUGAUACUGGCUAUCUUGAGUACGGGAGAGGUGAGUGGAACUCCGAGUGUAGAGGUGAAAUUCGUAGAUAUUCGGAAGAACACCAGUGGCGAAGGCGACUCACUGGCCCGUUACUGACGCUGAGGCUCGAAAGCGUGGGGAGCAAACAGGAUUAGAUACCCUGGUAGUCCACGCCCUAAACGAUGUCUACUAGUUGUCGGGUUUUAAUUAACUUGGUAACGCAGCUAACGCGUGAAGUAGACCGCCUGGGGAGUACGGUCGCAAGAUUA